UACGUAGGGACCGAGCGUUGUCCGGAAUCAUUGGGCGUAAAGAGCGUGUAGGCGGCCCCUUAAGUCCUGCGUGAAAUCCUGCGGCUCAACCGCAGACGGUCGUGGGAAACUGGAGGGCUAGAGUGCGGGAGAGGAGAGUGGAAUUCCCGGUGUAGCGGUGAAAUGCGCAGAUAUCGGGAAGAACACCCGUGGCGAAGGCGGCUCUCUGGAACGCAACUGACGCUGAGACGCGAAAACGUGGGGAGCAAACAGG
rnacentral:rRNA from 1 species